UACGGGGGGGGCAAGCGUUGUUCGGAAUUACUGGGCGUAAAGGGCCAGUAGGCGGCCAACUAAGUCCGACGUGAAAUCCCAAGGCCUAACCUUGGAACUGCGUCGGAUACUGGAUGGCUUGAAUUCGGGAGAGGGAUGCAGAAUUCCAGGUGUAGCGGUGAAAUGCGUAGAUAUCUGGAGGAAUACCGGUGGCGAAGGCGGCAUCCUGGACCGACAUUGACGCUGAGCGGCGAAAGCUAGGGGAGCAAACGGG
rnacentral:rRNA from 1 species